GACCUGAGCCGAAGUUGGACACUCAACCUACUGAGCCACCCAGGAGCCCCUAAGACAGCCUCCAUGUUUCAGUGGAGUGAGGGUGGGGGGCAAGAGCCAGUGUUAAGGACUGAAUGGAAUUGAGGAAAUGGAUCUUCCAGCAAAGAAGGCUGACUCGUCCUCUGAGGUUAGGGGUGGGACUGAGGAGGAGUGGGUGCCACAGAGUUAAGUCAGCACACAGGAAAGGGUGGUGGAGGGGACAGCCUCCAUGGCUCAUGUUCUCAGUCUGUGGGAACGCCGGCAUCCCCAGAGAGUCCGGGCUGUGCAGGCUGGGCAGGAGGCAGGAAGAAAGGAGCACAGACCUGAGGGAACCCUGAGAGGAAUGGACAAGCUGCUGAGCAGCCACCAGCUACUGGAAGGUCACAUUUACUGGGACCUCAGCCACCGUGCUAUGGAGGUGGCACUGCCUGGCAUGUUUCCCUCUCUCCCUAUGACAAAUAUCUGCAUUUUUUUGGUGAUAGAUUUGACUUUGCAGUUAGUAGCCCUGCAUCUCCCUGUGGGAGGAGGACACUCCAAAGGCCUUGGCGUUAACCUAGAGUCUGGCCAGCAGGGCAGAGGGCGGAGCUGGAGGAACAUCCUGACUUCCUGCAAUCAAGGUUGGGCACCUGGUCCAUCCUGCCAUUCCUCAGAAUGUCUCUGCCUGUCCUCGAAGAGGGCUUACCCUGGAACAGGCCACAAGCCAAGGGAGGAGUCCUGCUCAGAGUAGAAGCCUCUACUGCAGCCACUGUCCCCAACUACAGCUCAAUUGUACCCCUCCCUCCCAGGCUUAUAGCCCACUCGAACUGCCCCCCACCUUCCCUGCCCACCCUGAAUGCCCUCCACCGUGACCUCAGGCUCACAGACCUCUUGACCACCCUGCACCCUUCUGCCUCAUUCCUGUUAGAAUGCCCUUCGCUUCAGCUCAAUGCGAUGACAAUGUCCUUCUUUGUUUUUCCAACUCUCUUGGCAUUUUGUAUCCACUGCUUCGCUAUUGCUAGUUUUCAUGGUAGUGUGUCUUAUCCGUCCCCACCCCCAACAAAGGUCGAGUGACCUCGAGGGCAGGGAUGGAAUGUUGCACAUUUGGUUUUGGCAUUCCCCAGCACCAACUCCAUAAUCGCUGCUAAAUAAAUAUUGUUGGUUUAUUUGGCUGGCCUGGUGGAUAAAGCAGGCAAUCGAUGCCCUCUGCCUGGGGGCAGGCUGGUCCUUUUCUGACCCAUGGAAUGCCAGGGUUUAAAGAGCAGCCUCAGUCCCUGGGUGGAGACGGGGGAACGUGGCCAAUAAAUGUGACUUCCUUAUUGAAAAGGGUGAGGAUGGUGCCUGUUAGUGUUCCCUGGUUGUUGGAGACAUGCCACCGUAGGACUGCAUUUGGAGAAGGGUGUGGAGGGGAGGCCCGCACCUGCCAUGGCUCCCAUGGCUCCUGCAAUCCCCCAGCCACCUGCUCACCGGCCAUCCUGCCCUGAUUUCCAGACUUGCUCAUUCCUGCGGGCAAGGCCUGCCAGUCACACAGGUGGCCCCACAAAGCAGAGGGCAUAGCCACCCAGUGUCCCUUCUGCUCACUGUCCUGUCGCAAAGGCAAAACAAGACUUUUUUCUCCCAUCUGAUUUAUGGAGCAGGGGGAAGAAAUGUGUAAAUAAGAAACACAGAGAGAGCUACUAUUCCUUCCUGGACUUCGUUGGAGAGAUUUCAGGGUUUGUGUUUGGAGAUCUUGGGCUUCGCCUGCUGAGUCCACUUGCACCUGGUUGUAGGGCUGACCCGUGAAUGUUGGGAGGCCAAACUCUGUUUAAAUGUUGGUCUAAAGAAGGCCCUUUCUGGGAUUUUCAGAGGAGGAAUAUUACGGGAUGAGUAAUGGUCUUGAGCGUCCUUAUUAGAUAAGAUGUUUGGAUUUGGUCUUAAAACUGGAACAAAUCAAAAGGCCAUUUCAUUGCUCCUUAUGGUUAGAUGUGAAUUAAAAUCAUGGAUUUUCUGAUUCACCCAAGGCCAGACUAUCCUUCAUUUUAAGCCUUGAUGUUUCCGCACUUAUCUUGGUUUCUUGGGUUGUUUCUCACACUAAAAAGGACAAUGUAACACUUGGGCAGUGCAAAAAAAAAAAAAAAAAAAAAAAAGGUUUCAAGGCAUUUCAUUACAAAAACUUCAAAUUCCCUUCGUUCAUCCUAGCUCCCUUCCAGGCCACACACCAGGGACCCUUUACAGUACACCUGGAGUAGGCUUCUUACACAACCCCUUCUAAAAUAGCACUAAAUGCCAGGGUAGGGCACGGGGUCAUGUACUAUAGAUAAUAAUGAGGGAGCAGCUACAGGUUAGGAAUGGCGAUGUGCUCAUCCUAGCUGCCCUAAUUACUCCAGCCUUUAACAUAGGAUUGGCAAGUUCUGGAGCACUGGAUCAUUGGAUUCCAAGGAUCAAACUUGCUUUCCUGUUCUCUCAGACAUCACUGGGUCCUGAGGUCCAAGUUCUCUUUGCUUCAGGCUAAACCCAGCUGCUCGACUCAGCAUGGGAUCACUUGGGUAGCAAUUGUUGGUCUUUCUGUAAUCACAGGAAACAAUUUUGCAGAUGGGACGGUCUUAGUGCCAAGUAUCCUGUCCUAUCAUCUUCAUAAAUAUGCUCAUACUCGUCGGUUCACAUGUCCCACGUUGGGCGGUGAGAUCUGGCCAUUGAUAGCAUAAGACAGCAACAAAACAACAUUUUUGGUCAACUCUAGCAUAGAACACUGAUUGUCAAAUUCUAAUGCACCUGUGAACCACCUGGGGCUCUCCUUAAAAUGAAGGUUCUGGUUCAGUAAGUCUGGGGAGGGGCUUGAGGACUCUGCGUUUCUUUUUUUUUUUUAAGUUUAUUUAUUUGAGAGAGAGCGAGAAAAAGCAUGAGUGGGGGAGGGGCAGAGAGCGAGGAAGAGGGAGAGAAUCCCAAGCAGGCUCCACACUGGCAGUGCAGAGCCCGACGCGGGGCUUGAACCGGUGAACUGCAAGAUCAUGACCUGAGCCAAAGUACUGCGCUUAACCGACUGAGCCGCCCAGGUGCCCCGAGACUCUGCAUUUCUAACAAGCGCUUAGGGGAUGCCCCACAGAAAACCAGUCUCCUUUAAGGUUUAAAACCCAAGAUUCCAAGUAUGUUUUUCAUAUUUGGUGGAACAAAACCAUCUGAAGGUAUUUGGGUUCUGAUUUAGUCCCACGGCCCCUCCUCUUGAACUCUGAGUUCACCUGCUUCUGACCCUAGAGGACUUGAGUUAUUUGGCUUUUAAUUCCAAGAGACAGGAACCUUUGGGACCUGCCUAUUAUUAGUGCUUGAUGAAUGCUGUUUGUUCUUAUUGGAACUGAUUAUGAGUGUCCUUUGAAUGUUAGGUUCUAAAUCAGCCUUGCAAACUUAGUGGCACCUAACUAAUUUUGGUCCUGGCUCAUCUCCAUUCUAUCUGGCCCCCAAAGCCUUUCAUCAGGUCAUGCUAUUUCCUUGGCUUCAGAUACAACUGGUAUUUGUAUAUGCCAAAACUUCAUUCUGUAAUUCACCGGCUUCCUGAAUUCAGACAGGCUGUACCGAAUUAACGUAAGGUGGAAUCAUAGCAUAUCAGGACCAUAAGGGACUUCAGAGGCCAGGGCCUGCACUGACCCUUGGAGAUCAUUCUUGAGCUUCUUUUGGGCUUCCUAAGGUGAGUAGGGGUGCUCCUGCCUCAUAAAGUGGCCUAUUUGGUAGCUGUGAUGUUCCAAGAGAGGGUCCUUAAGUAUCCUCAGCUACACAUUACCUAUCCAUAAUUUCUGCUGUGGUGCUGCCUUCUAAAACUAACUCCUCAUCAGAAUAGUAUGGCUCUUCAACCAAUUUAAAGUUACUCUCGUGACUCCCUGUUUCUUAUCUCCAGGCACAAAUAUCCCCUUUCUUCAACUAUUUCUUAUAUACUAAAGUUUCCAGAUCCCUCACUUUCCUGGUCAUCAGGCUCUGACAUGCUCUAGUUUACCAAUGUCCUCCUUUGCCUAGCCUUCUCUGAUAUGGCCUGUCCAAGCCUGAUUCUGAAUGUCUACAUUGGCAGCCAUGUUUUGCUAUUGAUUUGUAUUGAAUAAAAAAACUUUUCCAGGGGAUUUUCAAGGGGAGAUGAAUUUCCCGAACUGGGGCAUUGACCCCUUGAAUCCAGUGCAGAUGUUUACAUUGAUCUUUAUUGAAUUUCAUCUUGUUUCUUUCACCCAUUCUGUCCAUCCAUCCAGUUGAGAUCUUGCAUCCUGAUUCUGUCAUCUAGUACGUUAUGGAUUCCUCCCAGCUCUGGUUGCCACAAAUUUGCUAUAUCCAGCCCUUUUAGCUUCAUUGUUGGGGAUAAAACUUGAAAUAGAGGAGUGCAAAUGCUGAUCCCUGUGCCUUUUACUAAGUCCAUUUGCCCGUUCAUUUAUUCAUUCACUUGCUCAUCCUUCCAACAAACUUAGGUUAAGGGCUACUGUGCUCUGGGCACUGUGCUUGCUGCUAGAGACCCUGCAGCAAAUAAGACAUGGUUUCUAUUCUUGAAGGCUCAGUAUCCAGCAGGAUGACCGUCUCCUUCCAAACCCUUAUCCGUGAUAGCCUACUUGUUACCAGGAUACUCACAGCCUGUGGGACCUUUUAGAUUCUAUCACCUCCCAGGCCAGCCUCCAAUUCCCCGACUACCUGCUUUCCUUAUAAAGUAAGGACCAGGAUCCUGGGAUUUGGAGAAGGACCCAGACGCCAAGAGUAUCCAAGUGCCGCAGGCUCUACAGAGAGAGGUGAAAAGGGAAUAGGAGAGAGAGGGAGAGAGAAGUGAAAAGCAGAAGGAAAGCCCAGAGGAUGCUGGGAGGGAAGGAAACCCUUUGCCCUGUUGGUUGGUUGGAAGGCCAGUGUGGUUGGCUGGAUGUGACUGAAUGCACGUGUGAGGUGAACAUGCAUGGGGCAGGACAUGCCUGUGUAACCAGUGUGCAGACAAGCAUGGCCUCUGCCGUGAACAAAGCAGCACUUGAUUGCUUGCCUUGAUUCAGGGAGGGUAAUCUUCCCCAAAAGCUGGAUGCAAACUGACCAGGUCUUAUUUCUAUUUAUUGCUAGGUAAUAGAUUGUUACCAUCACUUCGAUUCACAAGUGAGCAAUUUCAAUGUCCCAUCCACGAUGUAAAAGUCAAAACUCCAAGCAUGGCUUGACAUUACAUUUUUCCCCUGCGCACCUCAGGCCUCCUGUAGGCAGAGAGGCUGGGGAGCGGAACCUCUCCUCUACGCCUGCUCACUGCCUCCAUUUGUUGGAGGCCUUUCUGCCGCAGCUACUGUUGGCAGCGGGAGAGGGAGGAGAGGCCAGGAAGCAGACAGCUCCCGCUUGGCGGUGGCAUUGCUCUUCCUGGGUCUCAUUUUCAGAUGGUCAGGGCUGGGGUCCUAGCUGGUGUCUCUGGAUGGGCAUGGGAGAUGAAGAAAGCCAGCUCUUUCCCUCCUAAGGGGUUCUCUUGGGCCCUUCAGAUGUUGUCACGGCCGGAGACCUCUCUCCAGUUCUUUUGACCUUGGGCUGCUAUGUCACCAUUAAGGGCGGUGGCUGAGGCCUGCUCCUGAGCUAGAAAUCUGGAGAAAUCUGGCGGGAUCCCCUCCGGCCUCUUUGAGCUGAGAUUGCCUUUUGCACUGCUGCUCAGGACCCAUGUUGGCUCCACGUCAGCUCUCUCUCGUCUGUGGCUACUUCGGGCCUGUGGGUCACAGUGCUCCAUCUCUUGUCCCAGCAUACUCUGGGAGUCCAGGGUCACCCCAAAGUGCUAGUCUCUACGGACUUGGCCAUGAAAGCCCUUAAGGGCCUUUUUCUCCCUGCUCCAUGGCCCCAGGCUGGAGGCAAAACCCAGCCCACAGCCUGCUUUAGCAUUCAGGGCCAUAGGUGAAGUGCCCAGGGGCUCCCAUCUUCAGGGAACAUUUUGCAAAGCGUCUUGAAGGUCCCUCACCAGGCUUGGGGAUAACAACCCCAACCUCUGCCUUAAAAGGAAGAGAAGGUGGCCUUCACUGUGGAGCUACGGCUCUUCACCCAUCUCCUCACAUACAAUCCUGUCUUCCCACACUCUGACCCUUUUUCGAAUCUUAAAAUAGGAGAUGGGGCUUAAGAAUUGAGAGCUGCCAUUUAAGAAAGCGGUUUGGUGUUACCCGCUAAGUUGAGAUGCUCAUACCUCGGUAUAGACCCAAGAGAAACCUCGACAUGUCCAAUGGGAGACAUGUACAAAACUGUUCAGAGCAGGGGCACCUGGGUGGCUCAGUCACUUGAGCGUCUGACUUUGGCUCAGGUCGUGAUCUUGCAGUUAGUGAGUUCCAGCCCCACGUCGGGCUCUGUGCUAACAACUCAGAGCCUGGAGCCUGCUUCGGAUUCCGUGUCUCCCUCUCUCUCUGCCCCUCCCCCACUCAUGCUCGCUCGCUCUCUCUCUCUCUCUCUCAAAAAUAAAAAUUAAAAAAAUAAAAAAAAAGAAAUGUUCAUAGCAGCUUUGUUUCCCAAGUAGGGCUGCCAGAUAAAAUAUAGGAUACCCAGGUCAAUUUGAAUUUUGGACAAUGAAUAUGUUGGUGAUAAGCAUGUCUCAAAUAUUUCAUGGGACAUACUUAUACUAAAAAAAUUAUCUAAAAAUCAAAUUUAACUGGGCGUUCUGUAUUUUUCACUUGCUAAAUCUGGAAACCCUAUACCAAGCCAAAUGCCCACCAAAAGGCAAGUGGAAGAAUAAAUUGUGGUAUACACACACAGUGGAAAAUCACACAGGAGUCUAAAUGAAUGACAGUUAUGUAGGAGAAUUUGGAUGAAUCUUAGCCAUACAAAAUCUGAAAAUAUAAGCUCCGAAAGAUUACACACAGAAUGUUCUUUUUUGUUGAAGUUAGAAACAACUAAAAUAUUUUAAUUUUCAGAGAAUGUAUGUAGCCGCAGUAAAGCUAUAUAAAAAGGGAAGAAUUGGGAUGAUGGAUAAAUGAUUCAAAAGCGUGAGAAACUAUGUCAAAUGGGGAGUCAAAGGCCUAGGUUAAUGGGGGUGGGGAAUGAUGCGUAGGCCAUGAUCAGGGUCCUGGCUUUUGUUUUGGGUAGCAGCUUUGCUGGUGCUCAUGGACCGUGCAUGAACUAAUGACAAGAGAAAGUCACUCCCCAGUAAUUAUGAGUAAUCUGAUGAUGGCACUUGAUAUCUGAAAAUUAAAUUUAAAAUAUAGAAAAGAAAAAAAAAAAAACAGAGGUAGGGAGAAUGGCAUCAUGAAAACAUACUCCUAGUGCUUUUCCACGCAGGAGGGAAGAGUAUUGGCAGGGAAGAUGCCUCUGCGUCCGAAGGGGCAACAGCUGAAAUGGACCUUGAAAAAUGGCUAGAAGUUCACCAGAUGGAGGAGGGAGGAGGAGCAUUCCAGGAACGGUGUGCCGGAGAGCCAAGCAGCACAGUAGAGCCUGGCCUGCUCCCAGGACAGCAGUGAAGCUCAGGGUGGUCCCAGCCAGACGUGGGUGGCAGCGGUGAGAAGAGAAGGUGGAGGUAGGGGUCGCAGGGGACAAAGUAAGGAUGUGGAAGAGCUUAUGUCCCCUGCCGAGGAGUGUGGAACUUACCCUUGGGCUUCGGGGCAAGGAAGAGCAGAAAGGGUUACGCAGGAAGCUGUGAUAAUGAGCCCUCAGAAAAUUCUUGUACUGAAAUGGGGAGUCUCUUGACCUCACGUACGCACACUAUUGAUAAUAAGGCUGUCACAUAUGGCGGAGGGUCGAGAGGGCUGGCAAGGCAAGUGCUAAAAAGACAGGGCCUCGUGAGCUUCGUGGCUACUGAGUAAAAAAUGGUCAAGGGAAGGGUUGUAACUAUGGUUUAAAAUCAUAAAUACGGGAUGACCCACAGCUCUGAGAACAGAGAUGGUCAGCGAUUUGGUGGAAAGGGGAGUAGCCGAGAAGGUUGGCUGAUUCUCCAGAGGCGAUCCUACAAAAAAAUAUAAAACCAUUAAUGAAGGAAUUGGGAGAGAAUCCCUUGAUGGCGCCUCUGGACUUCUUGCGUCUCGCCUGCAUCGGCCACUCCUCCCCUGCUACACCCAUGGGAUUUGUUCUCUGAAUUUAUUCUAUUCUAGUAGUAAAGCACACAGGCUACCCCAUGUGGGGUAAUGUGUGCAGCGUUACAGAUACCCAAACGAAUAAGCUAUAGCUCAUGCCCUUAUUGAGGCUACAAGCCAAACACAAACCAUCUACAACUAGUUAUACUAAUGUUUGGAAAGUGCUAGAACAGAGUGACAUACACUCUGGAAUCAACAAGAGGGGGCGAUCGGUACUGUCCGAAACGGGGGUGUCAAAAACAGGGUAGCGUUUGAGCUAGAGGUUGACAGGUGAGGUUGGAAGUUGGACAAGCUCAAGAUGGAGGUGGGCGGCACACGAGCAGAGAGGGCGGCACGGGCACGGGCCCGAAGGUGAGGCUGCCACGGUAGGCUGGCGCCAGGUAGGGACAGGCCUUCGAGAUCCUGCUAAGGAGUGUGAACUUUGUUCUACAUGUCCUGGCUGUUGAGCAGGGCGGUGUCAGGAGCAGAUCUGGGUCAUUGGAACAAGCCUCCUGGCCACGUGCAGAAGAUGGAAUGAAGGGGGCCGAGGUUAAGGUCACAGGGAACAGCUGGGAGGCAGCUGCCCGAGUUCCUGUGAGUCCUGACAAGACUACAGAGGGGCCGUGGGGCCGGACAGCCAGGGAUUCUGGGGCCAGAAGAGGCCUUGGUUGUGAGAGCGAUGUGAGAAAGGCACUUGAUAAGCUGCCUGCAGCAGUUUCUCCUAAGGGGUCUGCCAAAAACUGCGUGGGAUUUCAGGGUCUGGUUUUCUUCGCCUUCUUCAGGUCGGUUACAUUUCCCAGAAUGGUUCCCAGCGCUGGAGAUAAUUCCUUUUCGGAGAACCUACAUUUCUCACCUGCUGAUUGCAAUUAGCCACUGCCAGCUGGGGCCUGGUGUGCAGCUGAAAAGCUAACAAGAAGUGGAGACCACGCGGAACCCAGACAGGGCAGAGGAUGUGAAUAAAUACGGAAUGGUGCCUGUGUUUAUGAGUCGCUCCGCUGAAUUCCAGGUUUCCUGACCCUCUGGAUGGCCCUCCUUCUUCCGGCUCUGUGCUCCCCGCCCCUCCCCUACCAAUUUUUUUUUUUUUUUUUUUGUCUCUGGGUCUGUACCCUACGUUUAACAUCACAGUCACGAAUUUACCACUAAGUACAUUUUGUUAGGCAAUAAACAGCCUCGGAAGAAAAAUGAAAUCGGACUAGGGCUUCUGUUCCAAUCAUGUUUGCGAGCUGUGCUGGAAUCAGGCAGGCCCUGCACGCAGGUCUUAGAGCUAACCUUGAAUAUGAGGACUGGCAGGGCCUGGAGAGGCCUUCAGGAUCACUAAUCUGAACCCCUCAUUUUAUGCAUGACAACAUGAAGUCCCAGAGGGAGAGCAUGACUUUUCCAAAGUCUUAGAGGAAGUCACAGGGCUGGAUGAAGUCCAUGUCUCCUGAUGGCCAGCUCAGGACUCUAACCACUGACCUGUCUUGGCUUUGAUCAUCGUGGACAGCCAACUUCUAGAGUUUGUGAGGAAAGCAUCAAGGACGUUGCCAAGCGUUGGAAGGAGUGUGGGCGAUUGUCUCCUAUGCUUGGAUGCUCCAUCUCAGGCCGUGGCAUUUGGCAGAAAUCAGUGAUUUUUCAGAACGUUGGAAGGUCAGGCUGCCUGCAGAUACAGACCCUUUCCUCGGCUGCCUCAUUGCCAGUUACAUUAACUACAGUCUGUGACAACAGUUUAUUAAUACUGUACUGUGGUCAAUAUCUAUGCGAGCGUAUAUGGUGACCCCAUGCAGAAAAGUAUUCCAUGGAGCCUACAGACAUAGUGACUCCGUUAGUGAUAGUGGAAGUCAUCCUACACAUUAACCCUCCUCUCCCACGUCUGCCUCACACCAGUCAUGAAGGUUUUCAGAGACCAUGCUGUCCCGGACCCGUUUUUCUCAUGGCGAUGGCAAAAGAAUGAGAAAGGAGAAUUGGAGCCGGCACGCUAUCUCUUCUGCCUUGUUCUUUUGGACACAGCGGUCAAUGGCUGAACCCAGGAUCCAGGAGUACACUCCGCCUCUCGAUGGCAAAGGGUGCGGAUACGAGGAAUGACAUAGCAUCGUGGUCGUUGACGCCAUGCGUCACACUUGCCAAGAGAUGCUGCUUUCCCUCUUUCAUCGGGUGCCAGAAUCUCCCACCAGGUACCACCACUGCUCCACGCCAUGGGCGGGCCCACGGGGGAGGCGCCAGACUCAUGUCAGGCCCCAAGCUGUCGGGGGGAGGAGAGGAGAAUGCAGUGCUCCCUUCUUUGUUAUAACCUGGGUCAUAGAUGCUUGUCACCCUGAAUCUCUUAGAAACCUUAAUAAAAUGGUUUUUUACUUAUGGCCCUUCUCUCUCUAGGAACGGUGUCACCCUUAGUGUUGGGAUGGGAGGAAUUUAAGUGAGAGCCCCUAGGUGUACUCAGAACGAUUGCUCUCCUCCAAGAAUGUGGUCAAACUGGAGUCUGUCUUCUUCCCCAAGACAACCUCGGGGAAUACUAAUGAGGUCGUAUCAAGUUUCUUUGCUUCGUUAACAGAUCUCCAGCCAUUUCAGCACGGUUUGGGCCUAAAAUAUAGAAAUCUGCUCUCAUGAUGACUGUCCAGUUAAUGACUUUUUGUCAUAACAGCUUUUAGAAUUUAUUUAUUUAUUAUUUAUUUUUAUUUAUGUUUAUUUUUACUUAUUCCAGCUUUAUUUUAUUUUUAUUAUAUAUAUACAGUAUACUGUCAAGUUAGCUAAUAUACAGUGUAUACUAUGUGCUCUGGGCUUCGGGAGUAGAUUCCCGUGAUUCAUCACUUACAUAUAACACCCAGUGCUCGUCCCAACAAGUGCCCUCCUCAGUGCCCAUCACUCAUUUUCCCCACCCCCCACCCCCUUUCACCCUCAGUUUGUUCUCUGUAUUUAAAAGUCUCUUAUGGUUUGCCUCCUUCUCUGUUUGUAACUAUUUUUUUUUCUUUUCCUUCCCCCAUGAUCUUCUGUUAAGGUUCUCAACUUCCACAUAUGAGUGAAAACAUAUGGUAUCUAUCUUUCUCUGACUUAUUUAACUUAGCAUAAUAUCCUCUGGUUCCAACCACAUUGCUGCAAAUGGCAGGAUUUCAUUCUUUUUCAUUGCUGAGUAGUAUUCCAUUGUACAUAUAAACCACAUCUUCUUUAAUCCAUUUGUCAAUGGGUGGACAUUUGGGCUCUCUCCAUAAUUUGGCUAUUGUUGAAAGUGCUGCCAUAAACAUUGGGGUACAUGUGCCCCUCUGUAUCAGCACCCCUGUAUCCCUUGGGUAAAUUCCUAGCAGUGCUAUUGCUGGGUCACAGGGUAGAUCUAUUUUUAAUUUUUUGAGGACCUUCCACACUGUUUUCCAGAGCGGCUGCACCAGUUUGCCUUCCCACCAACAGCGCAAGAGGGUUCCCGUUUCUCCACAUCCUUGCCAGCAUCUGUUGUUUCCUGAGUUGUUAAUGUUAGCCACUCCGACCAGAAAUUUUUUAUUUUUUUAAGUUUAUUUACUUUGAGAAAGAGUAAGCACAAGCAGGGGAGGGGCAUAGAGAGACGAAGAGAGAGAAUCAGAAGCAGACUCCGUGCACUGUCAGCGUGGAGCCCUAUGUGGGGCUCGAUCCCACAAACUGUGAGAUCAUGACCUGAGCCGAAAUCAAGAGUCUGCAGCUUAACCGACUGAGCCACCCAGGCACCCCAACAGCCUUUUCUUUUGCCAUUAUUCAUCUAUUUUAUUUUGUUCUGAUAUAAUUUUCUCACCUCAAAACACAAUAAAUACACUUUAAUCAAAAAGAAUGAAAUCUUGCCAUUUGCAACUACGUGGAUGGACCUGGAGGGUAUUAUGCUAAGUGAAAUUAGUCAGAGAAAGACAAAAAUCAUAUGACUUCACUCAUAUGAGGACUUUAAGAGACACAACAGAUGAACAUAAGGGAAGGGAAACAAAAAUCAUGUAAAAACAGGGAGGGGGCAAAACAGAAGAGACUCAUAAAUAUGGAGAACAAACUGAGGGUUAUGGGAGGGGUGGUGGUGGGGGGAUGGGCUAAAUGGGUCAGGGGCACGAAGGAAUCUACUCCUGAAAUCAUUGGUGCACUAUAUGCUAACUAAUUGAGAUGUAAAUUUUAAAAAAUAAAAAAUAAAAAAAAAAGAAGUGAUAUUUUGACCCAAUACUUCCAGGGAAUUCAGCAAAUUAAUUGAAACAUCAGUUUUUAGUCAGAGUAUAUCAUAUGGCACACAUUUGUAUCGUAUACCACGUUUGGAUGAGGCCAAAAUGUUUGGCCUUGCAUCCGUAGACUUACCGGCUUUUCUCUGUUGUCCGUGUGCAUUGCUUCCAUGUUUCUAAAACACUCUUCUGCUUAGUCUUUAUUUUGUCCUGGAGUGUUUUUGUCUUUGCUGUAACAUUACUUUUAAGGCACUUUAAAUGCAGGAUGACCAUGAGCCCAAGCAGGUUGAAAAAGUGAACAGAAUGGUAGAGAAAGAAUGCAUCUUCCAAAGAAUGACUCCCUUUCACCGUUCCUCCGGCAUUGACCGCUGCUAUCGAAUCUUCUUCCUUUGACAAGAGCAGGAAAGUUUCAGGAUCUGACAUUGAAUAAUGCUGCAGCAAGCAUGUACGCGCAAAUAUCUCCUCAAGAUCCUGUUUUCCAUUAUUUUGGGCAUAUAACCAGAAGUGGGACUGCUGGAUCAUAUGAGAAUUAUGUUUAUUCACCUGGAAAGCAGAAACUGUUGCUAACUGGAGCAGAAAAGUAAUUUCCAUUUGGAUGUGGCAAAAGAAGUCCAGGGCAUCAGAAGAGGAAGCCUCCUAUAGCAGAGACAGGAUCACCUUUGCCUGCAUUUCCAAAGGCAGAAACCUGGUCCGGGAGGAACUCUAAGACCCGAGGAGGCCACCUGGGAGGUACUGGAGGCGUGUGGAAAUCAGAGUAUCUUAGACCUGUCUUCAGUCAGAUUUUAACAGCCCCUUACUAGGCUGCUCGGAGCUUGUCUUACUUCCACGACCUAACUAUCUUUGGAAAAGGUUAGGACAUCCAUCCUUCCCAGAAUCCAGAGAUUGUGCAGGUGAGGGGCGUUUCUCAGGCACGUGCACUUUGCCACCAAAAGUCCUUUCUGGUGUCUUCGUUCGAGUUGCCUAUGGCAGGCCCUAAGGCAAUGGAUUGAUUGUCAUUUCUCCAGGAGGGAUAGACAACGGAUUGAUUGUAAGUCAUUUUUUCGGGAGGGCCAAGGAGUGAGGCAGGGAAGAGAAGGAAGGAGGCGACUGAAGGGUACGUCACCAAGCGGGUUACCACUCGGGGCAGUGGGAGCUGCUCCCGCUGGGGGAUGUCUGGACACGGCACGGAGCGGCUCAGGUGUUCCGGUGUUCUGGACACCUGCUGCCACCUCUCUGGAAAGCCACAGAACCGGCAGCCAUCAAGAGCACCGCGUAAGUUGGCUGUUCCGAUAGCAUCAUUCGUGGUCCACCCAGAGAAAGGCCGCGGCUGGAGGAGCUUUGCGCUGCCCUGCGAGAACUGGCUCAUCUGCACCCAUGCACUGUCUGAGGCCACCCGCGUCUGACAACAGAAGCCAGAGCCUCGGACCAGAGCCUCUGGCCACAGCCGUCACGUCUGAUUCCUAGGCCGCUCUGUCUCUAAUCUGGAGGAGACUCAGUGGCCAAGAUGUUUCUCAAUUGUCUGGACGUCCUCACGAAAUGACAGUAGAGGCUUUGGUCCUUCCUGCCUUCUCACCCCUGAGACACAUGCUGUCUCUGGCAAGGCAGUGUAGCGCAGUGAUUAAGAGCAUGUGUGUGCAGGGGCCCCUGACUCUUGCUUUCCUCUCAGGUCAUGAUCUCAUGGUUCGUGAGUUCAAGCCCCACGUUGGGCUCUGUGCUGUCAGUGCAGAGCCUGCUUGGGAUUCUCUCUCUCUCCCUCUCUCCCUCUGGCCCUCCCUCUCUUAUACUCUCUCUCUCUCAAAAUAAAUAAGUAAACUUUAAAAAAAAGAGUGUGUGUGCAUGUGUGUGUGUGUGCACACGUGCGUGUGCGUGCGUGUGUGUGUGUGUGUGUGUGUGCACGUGCACUUCCUCUGGGGUUAAGCUGCCUGGCUUCAAAUGCUAGGUUUGUUACCCAUGCAAGUCACUUAACCUCUCUGUGCCCCAUGUCACUCUCAUGAUACCACCUCAGAGGAGUGGUGCAAGCGUAAAGUUAUAGAAACAUCUAGAACCUUCUAAGGGCACCUGGCAAAUGCUUGGCAAAUGUCGACAUUUUCAUUCUGCUUGUGAGAUAAGGAAAACCCUGGAAGUGGGGAGAUGCACCCAAGGUCACAGGCAAGUUGGAUUUGUAGCAGAAAAGAACUGUGCCCGGCGGCAGCCCCUGCCCAACCCCUGGCCCAGCAGCCCCCCUUCCGCACACAUUUGGAGUCACCCGUCAUUGUGAUUCUCGUGGUUAACCCCCAAUCUCUGUAACCGCUCCAGCUCUAGAGCCUGGAUUUCUGCAUCAACUUCCCUGAGGCCAAACUUCCGAUCAUAUGACCCAAGCCGGACUCUUUCCUUGUUCCCCAGUCCCAGCUCCACACUCCUGUGCCCCAAUUCCCAUGUCUCAGCUUUCUCACACGGGCCCCGUCCCCCUUCCUUUGUGCAUUCAGCACAGUGCUUGGCAGCGGGUAGGUAACUGGGCAGGGGGCGUUGGCUGCACUAGUCUCUGCUUCGUGGCUGAGUCUAAGGAUUGAGACCAGGACCCCUACCUGUAACCAAAGCCAGUGACAGGAGACUGCCCCACACUGCUGGGCCCCUGGUGGCAUAUCCUGCUUUCUUGGAGCUUCCACGCACAAGCCACCGCGGCUUCCUGGGCCCCAUACUUUGUUGCAGCCUCAUUGUUCCAGUUCCCGGGUGUUUGCCUGGCUGGAGACCAGAAGUAGCUGUGACUUCUGGUGCCAGACUCAGCCUCUGGGAUAAACCUCCUCUAGCUGCACCUGCAGCCUGGCCAGCACCCCGAGAAUUACCCUGGGCCAGUGGGUGUGUCUGCAGCCUACUCUCUUCGGGGCCAGAGCUCCUGGUCCAGCAGGCACCUCAGACCACACCGGCUGCACCCUUUCCAUUUCUUCUCCAGAAAUGAACAGCAAAACGCCUCUGAUUUGGCGUCCAAUUCCAAAUUCAGAAAACUCUUGCCCACCCAGCCAGACACUGGCUGAUUCUGAAACCACUGCGUUUAUAGAUUAAGUUCAAACUAGAGUCAUUCUCGAGGCCCUACAACAUAUGUCUGUUUAAACUCACCAUUAAUUUGUUUCAUCACCAAUUCUAGGCGCCAGAGGUACGAAAAUUAAUAAGUCACAUCCGUUAUCUCCUGAUGGAGAAGGCAGAUGUGUAAGCAAAUAGCUAUUAUACGAGGUUAUAAACGCUAAAACACAAGUAUCAUUAAAAUGCUGUGGGAAUGUCAGUAAAGGAGGAAUUAAUCCUAUGGGGAAGGGUCAAAGAAAGCUUCAAAAUGGAGACCAUGCCUGAGCCAAGCUUGAAGCCCAGGUGGGAGCAUGUCAGCUGGAGAAAGGAGAAAGGGCGUUCGACUCUGUUUUUGCUUUCCUCCGUUUGCACCCGAGGUCAACAGGGCUCCCUCCGUUAACCACAUCUCCGUGUUUGCGAACCCCACCUGCACCAGUCCGCCCAACUUGUCUCUUUUGCUAUUUCUCUCUCCUUCUUCUCUUCAAUCUCCCGGUUCCCCAUCGUCCCCUGGAGGCACCCUCUGGAAGGUUGUAUAAGCGGUAUCCUUAAAUAGUCUUUUGUUUUUGUGAUAUACACAGCGUCAUGUUAGGCAUGUGUGCUCUUAAUUUACAUAAAAGGUAUUGUGCUGUGUCAUUUCCUUUCUAACACUGUUCACUCAGCACUCUUUUCAAAGAUCAAUGCAUUUGCUGUAUGGGCAUUUCGUUUUUCCUUCUAAGUGCAGCAUAGCGUUCUAUGGUGUGUGCAUACCUCAUUUUUCCCAUCAUCUCCCUUAAUAAUGGACACCGGGGUGGCUUAAUAGCUCUCUUCUUCCAUAAAGAACAUCCCCACAUAUGUCCUCUUACAGACCUGUGCGGGAAUUUUUCUCGACGGGAUUGCUCAGUGAUGGGCCAUCCACAUACUUAGUUUUACGACGGGUUGCCAAAUUGCUUUCAAGGUGCAUGUCCUCAGCCAAGAUUCAUCGAGCACGAACCUCCUGCCAGGUGCUAUUCUAUCCACAGAGGAUUUAGCCGUGAACGGAGUCCUUGCCUUCAGCGAGCUUACGGUCAAAUGAGGGAGACAGCAAUGAACUCUUAAGUGCACAAUGAAAAACCAUGCAGUGAAAAGUGCCGUGAAGACACUGAAACGGGUUUUGUGAACAGCUCUGGGGACCUGAUGGCCGUCAUCCAUCUUCGUCACCAUUAGAAAGCGCACCCACAGUAUGGUCCCUGCAGAAGGGGGAGCUUCCUCAAGGACUGAGGAGGCACUCAGAAAAUAAGCUGGACCAACGUGCAUCCUUUGCUUCCCGGGAGCUUAAAGAGAACAGCGUUGUGGCGAGGUGUUCGAGCUAAAUGCCCAAACGAUCAGCUAAUUACUUGGGUCUGAGCACAGCUGAACAAAUCCACCUUUCCAAGUCACCGCCAGAAGUUCGAGCAACUUCAUUCUGGCUGGAUUUCAGCACUGCACACCAAGAACCAGAUGACCGGGGCCAGGAGGGGCAUUUCUCACUUACCUGCUUCCUUCUGUUAAAGAAAAAAAAAAAAAUACUACAGUGUAAUCAGUUCUCCUGCCUACCGAUCUGGUGAGGGAUGGAGACAAUAUGAAGCACAUUCGGCCUCACUAGAAAUCACAACCGUGCAAUUAUAAACAGAAAUGAGAGACCGCUCUUUAUCCGCCAGGUUGGCAAGCGUUAAAAAGAUAGAAGGAUCAACGAUAUCUAGAGUUGGGGACAGCAGGGGGAAUUGGGGACCGCUGGACACUCUCGGUGGGAGUUUUCAUUGGCAAAGCCAUUUCGGAGGCAAUUUGGCAGCUUCCAGCGACAUUUAAAACGGUCACAGUCUUUGGCCCGGCAAAGUCCUCUUCUAAGCCAGCCUGAGAAACUACCUUGUAGAUAUGUCUGCACAUGUGUACCCAGAUAUAUACAUAUCUAGCUAUAGCUAGCUAGCUAGCUAGAGUGAAGAAUGCAAUCAAUCUAAAUGCCCAUCCAUAGGAGUGUUGUUAAAUAAAUAAAUCAUGGCAUGCCUGUGCAAUGGAGUUUUUGAUGCAUGUAUUGCCGGGGAAAGAUGUUCAAGAUAUACGAUCGUGAAAUAAAAGCCAGCUCUGGCUGAUAUGCAGGAUAGAAUCUCAUUAAUAUAAAAAAAGAGAUCUAUAUAUGUUCAUUUGCGUGUGUAAAGACUUUCCUACGGGGGAGGGGGGGUCCGAAGGGACACACUCCGACUGUUAACCCCCAACCGCUCCCCAGGGAGGGCAAUGGGAAAGAGGGAAGGGUGCCUUGAAAGGUUUCUCUCUGUGUACUUCUAAGUUAGCGUUCACGUAUGGCACGUGCCUUUAAAGGCAAUUUUCUCAGAAAAACAGAAAAUCGGGGGGCCGAUCUGCAUUUGUAUUUCAUAUGCCUCAUCUUCCUCCUCUUCAGGACCCAUCCUGAUCAUCACUUUCAAACCCCUGAGCCUUUUCUCUUCCCUGGCGCAUGACAAAGCCUGAAUCCUAAGCAUGCUCUUACUGUGGCUGAUAGCUCUGUCAGCUGUUAAUUAUUCAUGCUAAUGGAAGGGGCUGGAGGCACAGAUAAUGCAAAAUCAAGAGGAGUAAAUCUUUCAGAGCCUCUGUCGACUCCUCUCCUGGAUCCCCUGGGAACACCUUGCAUACUGUAGGUAUUUACUCAGCAAUAAAUAUUGAUUGAUAUGGAUUGAUAUUUGUCUCUGCAAUUUCACAUCGCCCACAUCCUCAGACGGGUAGAUACACACCCCUGGGCAGUGCCUUCCCCACAUCGGUACCGGCCCGGCCUUGCUUGCCCACGAGGACUAGCAAGCCCCCGUCACGAGCCACCAGUGGGCUAUUCUGUUCUCGGAUAGAACAGAGACGACAGGAGUCCUUGCUGUUACUUGUUUUUUUACACUAACUGAUCAGUAUGGCCACUGGUGGCCCCGCCUCUCUAGUGGGUUUUCAUCCAGCUUAUGCUCAGCACGAACAAGCCACCCACAACCAAGAUUUCACAGCCAUGAAAGUGGCUACAAUAAAAAUAGAUAC